rnacentral:rRNA from 1 species
GACGAACGCUGGCGGCGUGCCUAAUACAUGCAAGUAGAACGCUGAAGGAGGAGCUUGCUUCUCCGGAUGAGUUGCGAACGGGUGAGUAACGCGUAGGUAACCUGCCUGGUAGCGGGGGAUAACUAUUGGAAACGAUAGCUAAUACCGCAUAAGAGUAGAUGUUGCAUGACAUUUGCUUAAAAGGUGCAAUUGCAUCACUACCAGAUGGACCUGCGUUGUAUUAGCUAGUUGGUGGGGUAACGGCUCACCAAGGCGACGAUACAUAGCCGACCUGAGAGGGUGAUCGGCCACACUGGGACUGAGACACGGCCCAGACUCCUACGGGAGGCAGCAGUAGGGAAUCUUCGGCAAUGGACGGAAGUCUGACCGAGCAACGCCGCGUGAGUGAAGAAGGUUUUCGGAUCGUAAAGCUCUGUUGUAAGAGAAGAACGAGUGUGAGAGUGGAAAGUUCACACUGUGACGGUGUCUUACCAGAAAGGGACGGCUAACUACGUGC